rnacentral:rRNA from 1 species
GAUGAACGCUGGCGGCGUGCCUAAUACAUGCAAGUCGAGCGAACGGACGAGGAGCUUGCUCUUCUGACGUUAGCGGCGGACGGGUGAGUAACACGUGGAUAACCUACCUAUAAGACUGGGAUAACUUCGGGAAACCGGAGCUAAUACCGGAUAAUAUUUUGAACCGCAUGGUUCAAUAGUGAAAGACGGUUUUGCUGUCACUUAUAGAUGGAUCCGCGCUGCAUUAGCUAGUUGGUAAGGUAACGGCUUACCAAGGCAACGAUGCGUAGCCGACCUGAGAGGGUGAUCGGCCACACUGGAACUGAGACACGGUCCAGACUCCUACGGGAGGCAGCAGUAGGGAAUCUUCCGCAAUGGGCGAAAGCCUGACGGAGCAACGCCGCGUGAGUGAUGAAGGUCUUCGGAUCGUAAAACUCUGUUAUUAGGGAAGAACAAAUGUGUAAGUAACUAUGCACGUCUUGACGGUACCUAAUCAGAAAGCCACGGCUAACUACGUG